rnacentral:rRNA from 1 species
GAUAUAAGUCGUAACAUGGUUGCUGUUGGAGAACCAUUAGCAGGAUCAUAAUCAGGAAGUAUAAGUUUGUUUGUAUGUCAUUACCCACACAUGGGAUCAAUAGGAUACCAUAACGAUGAANNNNNNNNNNNNNUACGAAAGUAUACUUACCGAAUUUAUAUUCUAGUAUAGAUUACCCUUUGAACUUAAGCAUAUCAUUAGAAGGAGGAAAAGAAACUAACUAGGAUUUCUUUAGUAGCAGCGAGUGAACAAGAAUCAACCCUUGAUUGUAAUCCUUUACUGGAGAUGUAAAUCACUGUUUUAUUACUUAUUUAUAAAGAAUAUGUAUUAUUCGUUAGUAACAAAAUAGUAAAUGUUUUUGAGUAGGGCUGCUUGGUAGUGCAGUUUGAAUACAGGUAGAAUGAGAUAUCUAAGGUUAAAUAUAAUGGUAUACCGAUAGCAAAUAAGUACUGCGAAGGAAUUUGUGAAAAUGUGUGGGAUGUAGCCUUAUUUUUAAGGACCCGUCUUGAAACACGGACCAAGGAGAUUAUAAU